AGGUUAGCAUGGCCCCUGCGCAAGGAUGACACGCAUACAUUGAGAAAUGGUCCAAUUUUUU
rnacentral:snRNA from 1 species